rnacentral:lncRNA from 1 species
GUGUGCUUGGCUGGAGAUGGCUAGCAGCAGCAGCAGCAGAAGUUGAAGAAAAGUUCUACAAUGAUGAAGAAACUUGGAAUCUCCCUCUGGGACCACAAAGAGGAUAGUUUACUGAACUGCCUAAAGGAGGGAACCCCCACUGCUUUUAAUGUUGAUUUUAUUGUAACUAGUGUUUAAGACUGUUCUGCAGUAAAGCUUUGAAACUCAUUCUUGUGAUGGAAAGAAUUCAUCCAAAUCUGGGAUUCCACUGAACAACUUUAGCAUGGCAAUCAGGAGGAAAAGAGCUGAAAGCAGAGGAAGGAAACCAGGGUGGAGAGUUGCAGGGCACUCUCUGUGUGUAUCCACAUUAUUUUCAUCUUCUAAUUGAUAUUCCAGCCUCAAAUGCAACCACAGUAAGCUUUUCAAAUCAUUCAGUAAAAUAUAAAUUUUCUGAUGCCUUGAUUUUCAUCCUAUGUCUAGUUGGCUUACCAUACCACCCAGUAUUUUGAGCUGGCUGGGACACUAAGGAACACUUUAAGAGGCAAGAAAGUCGUAGAACACAAAGGACUGUUUUAGUGCAUCCAAGCAAGAGAAUAAAGGCAUUCACAUUGUGGCAGUAAAUUUAGGAAGCUCAUUCUCUUCCCCUCCCUCUUCUGCUGCAGGCUACAGCCCAUGGACUCAGCUACAUUAGUUUUUUUUUUUUAAGUUAUAAAUGUGUUAUAAUGCUGUGACACCAGCUGUAGAGCUGAAAUCAGAACUGUGAAAUUUUCCAUUAUGAGUUUUAAAAUGUUUUAAAACGUGGGAAUGUAGAGAAAAUAAUUUUUUGGGGGGAAAUGAUAUACAAUGAAUUGAAAAAAAAAUGUUUAAAAUGACAUUUGUAAAAAAAACCAGAAGCAUUUUUGUUAGGGAUUGUAGGACAAGACCUGCCAAGAAAAACAAAGAACUUAUUUAUGUAUGCUACAACAGCAGCAAGAGUCUUGAUGGCGCAAGAAUGGAAGAAUGAGGAAAUCCCAAUGAAAGAACAGUGGCAAAGAGUGUGCUUUACCACUAAACCAUGGUUGUCCUUAGAACAGGUGUGGGGAUGUUUGACCUUCCAGAUGUUGUUGAACUACAACCCACAGCAGCCCCAGCAAACAUGGGCAGGGUUGAUGGAAGUUGCAGUUCAUCAACAUCUGGAGGGCCAAAGGUUCCCCAUACCUUUCUGUCUUCGGGGAAGGGGAGGAAAUAUGAACAAGGGGCAGGGACUCCAAGUACCAACAUCAGAAUGUGCUGAUCACAUAGUAACACAGAAAUGAUAAUAUCCAACUUCUACUUUUGAUGCUGUUUGGUGCCUAGCAGUGUUAAGGUUCAAUAGAAUGUGUUUCCUUACAUUUCAGUUCCUUCGCUCUACAGCAUGGUUAGGCAAACUAAGCCCCGGGGGCCGGAUCUGGCCCAAUCGCCUUCUAAAUAUGGCCUGCGGAUUGUCCGCAGUGUGCUUUUACAUGAGUAUAAUGUGUGCUUUUAUUUAAAAUGCAUCUCUGGGUUAUUUGUGGGGCAUAGAAAUUCAUUUAUCCUCCCCCCCAAAUAUAGUCUGGCCCCCCACAAGGUCUGAGGGGCAAUGAACCAGCCCUCUGCUGAAAAAGUUUGCUGACCUGCUACAGGAUUGGUUGGCUGCCUGUCGGGGGCUCAGCUAAGUUGUAUUUGUGUAUGUGUGUGCUCCUGAGUUUUGGGUGGUAUUAGCGAAAAAGAUCUCCCAUCCCCUAAUUCCCCAGUUCCACUCUGUUUUGUCUUGAACAGGCAGAUAUUUGUAGGAGAUUGAACCCUAUCUGCUUUCUCCAACAUUGACCACUUCCCUGGUCCACCCAGGUUGGAGGUCACAUGCCUGCUCCACUGUGGAAGCUAGGAAUGUUUUCUUUGGCUUGCCUUGGUUGAGGAGAUCCUGAAGUUCUCCAGCCUUACCUGCUGCUUUAGGGAUUAUUGUAGACUGGACUGUAAAUAAGGAUUUCCUUUUUGACAAGCAUCGAUUUAAGAAGAAACUUGACAACCUACUUACCUUUCACCAGCAGCUGCCUCUUUGUAUCAGAGUAGAGCUGGAAUACAAAUGCACCGAGACACAUUUUUGAGCAUGAUCCUUCAGCUCAAGUGUCUUUUUUCAGCUUCGGAUUUUUCUCUUCAUGAAGUCUAACAAGCAGAUCAAUAGCAGAAAUUCCAAGUUUACACCUGGUGUAUUGUCUACUGCAAGAUAGUGUUUGUAAGUAUGGUGGUGUUUUUGUGUGUAUUUAUCUGCAGAGACUAUAGUCUUGUGAUGGUCAGUACAAAAUUGCUACAGAACUAUCUCUUCCUUUUUGAAAAAAUAACUGAUGAAGGUUUGGACACCUAAUUAAUGGUAGAAGAAAAUUAAAUGGCCAGUUUGGUGUAGUGAGGAACACUCUGUCCCUGUUAUGGACCACCAGUUGCAUGGAUGUGAAAUCUGCAGCCCUCCAGAUGUUUUUGGACUCUCAAUUCCCAUCAUCCCUGAACACUAGCUGGAUGUCCAACAGCUGGAGGUUUUUCAAGGAGGGAAACUGGAGCACCACCCUGGAAGAAUUUUAUGUCGUCUCUGUCUUCCACAAUGCUUAAUAAUAAAUAAUAAUAAUUUUAUUAUUUGUAUCCUUCCCACCUGACUGGGUUGCCCCAGCCACUAUUGGCAGCUUCCAACAUAUACAAAACAUAAUAAAACAUUACACAUUAAAUGCUUUCCUAUAUAGGGCUGCCUUCAGUUGUCCUCUAAAGGUUACAUAGUUACUCAUCUCCUUGGCACCUGAUGGGAGGGCAUUCAAUAGGGCAGAUGCCACUACUGAGAAGGUUCUCUGUGUGGUUCCCUGUAGCUUCACUUCUCACAGUGAGGGAACUGCCAGAAGACCCUUGGUGUUGGACCUCAGAUGAACAAUGGGAAUGGAGACGCUCCUUCAGGUAUACAUCUUCCAUUUUCAGUUGCAGAGAGUGCAGUCUUUACUCUCCAACUUGUUUUUAUCAGUCUUCUCAAAUCAGCCAAUCUGCCGUUUUAAACUCCUAAGCUAUCACUAUGGGCAGUGCCCCAGUUUAUGUCUUUAGGGAAGAAACAAAGUAAACACAUAAAUUCAGCACCUGAUACUUUAGCAUUUUUCUAGGGUGGCUGGUCCCUCCAAACUGAAAGCUUUGUCUUCCCCACUUCCUUUUUCUAUAAUAGCUACCUGCUACUCGACAGUCUACAUAGAGGAACAUGCUGAAUUAAAGAAAGAGAAGAGGGAGGGCGGAGACUAUGGCCACCCGUGACAAAUCACAAUGCAGUCUGUGAGCAUGUGCAGAAUUGGUGCCUCGUUGGGCACUGCAUUCUCAGAGAGAGGCAGGCAGGCCACUUGUUCUAGUCUCAUGGUGGCACCCUGCUAACAGUGAGUGAUUUAUGAACAUGUUGGGAGGGAGAUGGCAGCAAUGGCUGUUCUGCUCCUCCUGGAAUUGGUGCCAUUUUCUCUUCCCAACUUUUGCCUUCUCUAGUCUUUCUGAAAGUAAGUAAGAAAGAAGACCUGGGGGUGAAGCAGGCUAGAAAAUGGCAGCUACAGCUGCCUUUCACACCAGGAAUCGUCACCUGGGGGAAGGAAGCGAUUCUUUGGCUUGCCUGCUUCUGUCCAUAGGCUCCCUAUCACUGGCUUAGAGGUUUGCCAGCAAUAGCUUGGCAUUCUUUGAGCCCAGUGGAUUAUUUUUAGGACAAUGCUAGAGAGUUAAGUACCUUUUCGUAUUUUCUUUUCCCCCGUCUUGUGGGCAGACGUUGCCUGUAUUUAUAAUAAGAUAUGCAGAAUUUAUAAGGGAAUGGAUACAAUGAACUCAAAGUUAAACAUCUAGGCUAUGAUCAUUAGCAUGCUUACUUGGGAGUCAAAUAUAUUUCUGAGUACAUAUAAAGGAACUGAAGAGCUUAAUACUGGUUGGUUUAAAUUUGUAAAGAAAUAGAAAAAUGCAAAGAGUUCUACUUUGAAUGAGUCAUUUCCCAAAUAAUAACCCCCCCCCCCAUUUUCACACCAGCUGCUGGAGCUGAUUCUGGGGUGCGACUUAUUAGAAGGGUUAAAGGUCUUGGUUGUUGCUUUGGGCUUUUCUGAGCAUCUUAAUAAUUCUUCAGACAGAAUAGAUAAGAGAACAUUUAUUCUGCUUCCCAUCUGACAGACCGUAAGUCUAAGAAUGGAGAUGGUAAAAAGGUGACAGUUCAUUCAUGACCACAUUUGCAAAGAAUCCUGAGAGCAUGGUUAAGUUAAGCCAUGUGAAAAGCACAUCAAUAUUUUAGAUUAUUUUUAGCGGUGCUUUGGUUGUACUUCACAUCCAUAUUUCUAAAAUAUGUUAAACCCUUGAAAACACUGCAAUAAAAUAGAUAUAAAGCAAUCUACAGAAGAGCUAGCUCAAGUAUGGAGAGCAGCCUUGGAAUAUGAAUUAAAAUAGAAAAAUAUUAGGCUAGCCUAUUCAUUGCAAGCCACAAAUAAAAAUGAUGUGAUGUUUGUGCUCCCUUAAAACUAAUAGAUGGCAAAGAGCUGAAAUAAUAAUGUAUCAGAACUUCAGGAUGAUUUCUUUUUAUUCUGUACUAUACAAAAAGAAAAAUCUUUCAGUGCAUUAAGGUUGGACACAGUCUAGGAUUGUACAGAUCAGUCUUUUCUCAUUCCUUGACAGUUUUGCAUUCCCUUAGUCCCAUUUUUGAGUGCAAUUUUUUUUUAAAAAAGCAAAAAAGCAAAAAAAUUGUUCAAAUGGUUUGCAUUUUGUAUAUAUUUUAUACAAAUUUGUCCAUUCUAAUAGAUGAUAUAUGAAUUUCCCCCAGAAACUCUCUUUUGUCUAAUUUUUUUAAACAAAACUAAAUCGCAAAAUUCAUACAAGUGGAUAAUCGAAUUGACAGUUGUGUUUUGAUCUGCACCCAGUUUUUCAUGUUACUGCAACUAUUUGCAAUUUUUUUAAAAAUCCUCAUGAAAAUUCAUUAGCAUUUCUUCUAAUACACAUAUUUUUGUAUGUAGUUUUGACUCAUAUAUACAUUUUGGAAGCAAUUUUCCCAAAUACAAUGCACUGCUGUAUGUUAUUUUAAUAAGUGUAGAGGAUGUGAUCCCUGAGCAAUCAAUGAAUAAAAUUGAGGUCUAAAUGAAUGUAAUAUAUUUCUAUCACAUAGGUAUAUAGAAAUUUAGAAACUUUUUGGGGAAAAGGGAUCUAUGGCUGGUAGCCAUUAGACUGUACUGAAUUGUACUUUUACAACAUUAAAAUACAAAUGCAGUGUGAAGUAGUGCAUAAAGUUGUUCUAGAAUACCUGGCUGUAUACCUACGUAACAGAAAGCUAUUAUGUUCAUUUAGACCUUGACUUUAUUCAUUGUUUGUUGUUUUCACUUAUACCUGCAUUUUUGUACACGCUACUUGUCUGGAUAAUGGCAUUGCAAAAUUCGGAGAAGUGCACAUUUCUGAAGGGUGGCUGUGUUUCAGUUUACGUAUCAUUUUGAAAAGAUGCAUUUGGUAGGUUUGCCUUGAAAUGUGAACUGAAUCAAUUUGGCCCACCACCCCUAGUCUAGGGGAAUUGAAACUGGAACAAUGCGAGACUGAAGGCACAUUCUUUCACCUUUGGUGGACAUGCCCAAGGAUUAAGACAUUCUGGGAGAUGAUUUAUAAUGAAAUGAAAAAGGUAUUUAAAUAUACCUUCCUGAAGAAACCAGAGGCCUUUCUCCUGGGCAUAGUGGGCCAAUUGGUGCCAAAGAAGGAUAAAACUUUUUUUAGGUAUGCAACAACAGCAGCAAGAAUACUCAUCGCAAAGUAUUGGAAGACACAAGAUUUACCCACCCGGGAAGAAUGGCAGAUGAAGUUGAUGGACUAUAUGGCACUGGCGGAAAUGACUGGCAGAAUCCGAGACCAGGGAGAAGAGUUGGUGGAAGAAGAUUGGAAAAAAUUUAAAGACUAUUUACAGAAAUACUGUAAAAUUAAUGAAUGUUAGAAAAAUGUUGGAAUGAAGUUAUAUGGCUUUAGUAGAAAUGUUAUAAGGAAUUAAGUACAGAUAGGUUAAUAGAGCAUUAAAGGAAAAAUAAGGUUAGAAUGAAUUAAGAUAAUUAUAGGAUAGAAAACAGAGGAAGAUGGAAAGGAAUUGCGGAAAUAAUUAACAGAAGUGGAAUACAAAAAGGGAGGUGUGAGGAGGUUGUGGAAACAAGUGAAUAAAAGAUGGGAUAAUGAAAUUGUUUGAUUUAUUUUAUUGUUUUUGUUUUGUUUUGUUAAUUUGAUGUGCUGUAUUGUAUUGUCUUUUUAGUGUUUAAGUUUUUGGAAAAAUAAUAAAUAUUAUUU